UAAGCGUACACGGUGGAUGCCCUGGCAGUCAGAGGCGAUGAAGGACGUGCUAAUCUGCGAUAAGCGUCGGUAAGGUGAUAUGAACCGUUAUAACCGGCGAUUUCCGAAUGGGGAAACCCAGUGUGAUUCGUCACACUAUCAUUAACUGAAUCCAUAGGUUAAUGAGGCGAACCGGGGGAACUGAAACAUCUAAGUACCCCGAGGAAAAGAAAUCAACCGAGAUUCCCCCAGUAGCGGCGAGCGAACGGGGAGCAGCCCAGAGCCUGAAUCAGUGUGUGUGUUAGUGGAAGCGUCUGGAAAGGCGUGCGAUACAGGGUGACAGCCCCGUACACAAAAAUGCACAUACUGUGAGCUCGAUGAGUAGGGCGGGACACGUGGUAUCCUGUCUGAAUAUGGGGGGACCAUCCUCCAAGGCUAAAUACUCCUGACUGACCGAUAGUGAACCAGUACCGUGAGGGAAAGGCGAAAAGAACCCCGGCGAGGGGAGUGAAAAAGAACCUGAAACCGUGUACGUACAAGCAGUGGGAGCACGCUUAGGCGUGUGACUGCGUACCUUUUGUAUAAUGGGUCAGCGACUUAUAUUCUGUAGCAAGGUUAACCGAAUAGGGGAGCCGAAGGGAAACCGAGUCUUAACUGGGCGUUAAGUUGCAGGGUAUAGACCCGAAACCCGGUGAUCUAGCCAUGGGCAGGUUGAAGGUUGGGUAACACUAACUGGAGGACCGAACCGACUAAUGUUGAAAAAUUAGCGGAUGACUUGUGGCUGGGGGUGAAAGGCCAAUCAAACCGGGAGAUAGCUGGUUCUCCCCGAAAGCUAUUUAGGUAGCGCCUCGUGAAUUCAUCUCCGGGGGUAGAGCACUGUUUCGGCAAGGGGGUCAUCCCGACUUACCAACCCGAUGCAAACUGCGAAUACCGGAGAAUGUUAUCACGGGAGACACACGGCGGGUGCUAACGUCCGUCGUGAAGAGGGAAACAACCCAGACCGCCAGCUAAGGUCCCAAAGUCAUGGUUAAGUGGGAAACGAUGUGGGAAGGCCCAGACAGCCAGGAUGUUGGCUUAGAAGCAGCCAUCAUUUAAAGAAAGCGUAAUAGCUCACUGGUCGAGUCGGCCUGCGCGGAAGAUGUAACGGGGCUAAACCAUGCACCGAAGCUGCGGCAGCGACGCUUAUGCGUUGUUGGGUAGGGGAGCGUUCUGUAAGCCUGUGAAGGUGUGCUGUGAGGUAUGCUGGAGGUAUCAGAAGUGCGAAUGCUGACAUAAGUAACGAUAAAGCGGGUGAAAAGCCCGCUCGCCGGAAGACCAAGGGUUCCUGUCCAACGUUAAUCGGGGCAGGGUGAGUCGACCCCUAAGGCGAGGCCGAAAGGCGUAGUCGAUGGGAAACAGGUUAAUAUUCCUGUACUUGGUGUUACUGCGAAGGGGGGACGGAGAAGGCUAUGUUGGCCGGGCGACGGUUGUCCCGGUUUAAGCGUGUAGGCUGGUUUUCCAGGCAAAUCCGGAAAAUCAAGGCCGAGGCGUGAUGACGAGGCACUACGGUGCUGAAGCAACAAAUGCCCUGCUUCCAGGAAAAGCCUCUAAGCAUCAGGUAACAUCAAAUCGUACCCCAAACCGACACAGGUGGUCAGGUAGAGAAUACCAAGGCGCUUGAGAGAACUCGGGUGAAGGAACUAGGCAAAAUGGUGCCGUAACUUCGGGAGAAGGCACGCUGAUACGUAGGUGAAGCGACUUGCUCGUGGAGCUGAAAUCAGUCGAAGAUACCAGCUGGCUGCAACUGUUUAUUAAAAACACAGCACUGUGCAAACACGAAAGUGGACGUAUACGGUGUGACGCCUGCCCGGUGCCGGAAGGUUAAUUGAUGGGGUUAGCGCAAGCGAAGCUCUUGAUCGAAGCCCCGGUAAACGGCGGCCGUAACUAUAACGGUCCUAAGGUAGCGAAAUUCCUUGUCGGGUAAGUUCCGACCUGCACGAAUGGCGUAAUGAUGGCCAGGCUGUCUCCACCCGAGACUCAGUGAAAUUGAACUCGCUGUGAAGAUGCAGUGUACCCGCGGCAAGACGGAAAGACCCCGUGAACCUUUACUAUAGCUUGACACUGAACAUUGAGCCUUGAUGUGUAGGAUAGGUGGGAGGCUUUGAAGUGUGGACGCCAGUCUGCAUGGAGCCGACCUUGAAAUACCACCCUUUAAUGUUUGAUGUUCUAACGUGGACCCGUGAUCCGGGUUGCGGACAGUGUCUGGUGGGUAGUUUGACUGGGGCGGUCUCCUCCUAAAGAGUAACGGAGGAGCACGAAGGUUGGCUAAUCCUGGUCGGACAUCAGGAGGUUAGUGCAAUGGCAUAAGCCAGCUUGACUGCGAGCGUGACGGCGCGAGCAGGUGCGAAAGCAGGUCAUAGUGAUCCGGUGGUUCUGAAUGGAAGGGCCAUCGCUCAACGGAUAAAAGGUACUCCGGGGAUAACAGGCUGAUACCGCCCAAGAGUUCAUAUCGACGGCGGUGUUUGGCACCUCGAUGUCGGCUCAUCACAUCCUGGGGCUGAAGUAGGUCCCAAGGGUAUGGCUGUUCGCCAUUUAAAGUGGUACGCGAGCUGGGUUUAGAACGUCGUGAGACAGUUCGGUCCCUAUCUGCCGUGGGCGCUGGAGAACUGAGGGGGGCUGCUCCUAGUACGAGAGGACCGGAGUGGACGCAUCACUGGUGUUCGGGUUGUCAUGCCAAUGGCACUGCCCGGUAGCUAAAUGCGGAAGAGAUAAGUGCUGAAAGCAUCUAAGCACGAAACUUGCCCCGAGAUGAGUUCUCCCUGACCCUUUAAGGGUCCUGAAGGAACGUUGAAGACGACGACGUUGAUAGGCCGGGUGUGUAAGCGCAGCGAUGCGUUGAGCUAACCGGUACUAAUGAACCGUGAGGCUUAACCUUACAACGCCGAAG
rnacentral:rRNA from 1 species